rnacentral:lncRNA from 1 species
CAACCAAUCCAUCCACCUCCUCCUAGCUCAGCUCAGCUCAGCUACCCACACUUCACUCCCUGAGUAGUAGCAGCAGCGAGAAGGGAAGAUCGAUAGAGUAGAGCGAGGUGCGAGAUGAGGACGGUGGAGCUCGGCAUUGUGGCCAUGGCGUGCCUCGUCGCGGUGGCGCGGGCCGGCAACUUCUUCCAGGACUCGGAGAUGUCCUGGGGGGACGGCCGCGGGAAGGUCGUCGACGGCGGCCGCGGGCUCGACCUCACGCUCGACAAGACCUCCGGCUCCGGCUUCCAGUCCAAGAGCGAGUACCUCUUCGGCAAGAUCGACAUGCAGAUCAAGCUCGUCCCCGGCAACUCCGCCGGCACCGUCACCACCUUCUACGUAAGCUUCACUAGCGUACAUUCUCG